ACGGGAGGCAGCAGUGGGGAAUUUUGGGCAAUGGGCGAAAGCCUGACCCAGCGACGCCGCGUGAAGGAAGAAGGUCUUCGGAUUGUAAACUUCUGUCAACAGGGACGAAACAAAUGACGGUACCUGUGGAGGAAGCCACGGCUAACUACGUGCCAGCAGCCGCGGUAAUACGUAGGUGGCGAGCGUUAUCCGGAUUUACUGGGUGUAAAGGGCGCGUAGGCGGGGAUGCAAGUCAGAUGUGAAAUCUAUGGGCUCAACUCAUAAACUGCAUUUGAAACUGUAUCUCUUGAGUGCUGGAGAGGUAGAUGGAAUUCCUUGUGUAGCGGUGAAAUGCGUAGAUAUAAGGAAGAACACCAGUGGCGAAAGCGAUCUACUGGACAGUAACUGACGCUGAGGCGCGAGAGCGUGGGGAGCAAACAGGAUUAGAUACCCUGGUA
rnacentral:rRNA from 1 species